rnacentral:rRNA from 1 species
AUUGAACGCUGGCGGCAUGCCUUACACAUGCAAGUCGAACGAGUGGCGGACGGGUGAGUAAUAUAUCGGAAAGUGCCCAGUGGCGGGGGAUAACUACUCGAAAGCGUGGCUAAUACCGCAUACUAUUGGAGCUGCCCCUAUGGGAUUAGCUAGUUGGUGGGGUAAAGGCUCACCAAGGCGACGAUCCGUAGCUGGUCUGAGAGGAAGACCAGCCGCACUGGGACGGAGACACGGACCAGACUCCUACGGGAGGCAGCAGUGGGGAAUAUUGGACAAUGGGGGAAAGCCUGAUCCAGCAAUGCCGCGUGUAUGAAGAAGGCCUUCGGGUUGUAAAGUACUUUUAGCGGUGAGGCGGUAUUUGCAGAAUAAGCACCGGCUAACUACGUGCCAGCAGCCGCGGUAAUAC